rnacentral:rRNA from 1 species
CGCGUAUGUGGUUAAUUAAGUCAAAUGUGAAAUCCCCGAGCUUAACUUGGGAAUUGCAUUCGAUACUGGUUAGCUAGAGUAUGGGAGAGGAUGGUAGAAUUCCAGGUGUAGCGGUGAAAUGCGUAGAGAUGUGGAGGAAUACCAAUGGCGAAGGCAGCCAUCUGGCCUAAUACUGACACUGAGGUGCGAAAGCGUGGGGAGCAAACAGGAUUAGAUACCCGCGUA